CGUUAUCACGCGAGAGUUCCGGUCUUCUUGCUCUUUCCCGGUAGCAGGAGGACGGACCGGUGGUGGGACGCGCUAGCAUGCCGGUUCCACGUCUUAUAAUGCAUUUAUGUCUGAAUAUGGAGUUAACUGCGGAUGAGCCGCCUUGAACAGGAGCUUUGGCGGAUGUGAAAUGAGGCUCAUCAUCUUGUCAACCAAGGCGACAUCAUAAUGAAAGGUUCAUGGCUCGUCUGUCCCACUUGACAUCUACAGCCACAUGGAGACGGGUGGGAGCGUGUUGAAAAGAGGUCCCGAGAUCCGCAAAGCGAGACCAUAAGAUGUCACAUGGGCGCUGAGAGGGGCCGAACAGAUGAAACCAGGAAGGAAGUGGACAUUGAACUGCACUUAAACCUAUAAUAUAUUGGCCUACUUUCCAAUUUUGUUUCUUGAUGUCUUCCUAAUGUAUUUUAAAUGCAAUUUUUCAUUUGGUUUAAUGUCAUUUUUAUGCCCCUGUAAAGCACUUGGUGU